rnacentral:rRNA from 1 species
AUAUGGAAAGCCAAAGUUCCUCUCAAGAUUAAAAUCUUUUUAUGGUAGUUAUCCCAAGACACGAUACUCACAAGACAAGUGAUGAGGGAAAGAAAGUGGCCAGGGAAUCCUCGUUGUUCAUUCUGCAGGGAGGCAGAAACCUCUAACCACCUCUUUUUCACUUGCCCGGUUGCUAGGGUGGUUUGGAGAUCUAUUGGGGUAUUUCGUCUGGUGUAG